UACGAAGGGGGCUAGCGUUGCUCGGAUUUACUGGGCGUAAAGGGCGCGUAGGCGGCCCUGUUAGUCAGGCGUGAAAGUCCUGGGCUCAACCUGGGAACUGCGCUUGAUACGGCAGAGCUAGAGGAUGGAAGAGGCUCGCGGAAUUCCCAGUGUAGAGGUGAAAUUCGUAGAGAUCGGGAGGAACACCAGUGGCGAAGGCGGCCUUCUGGACCAAUACUGACGCUCAUGCACGAAAGCGUGGGGAGCAAACAGG
rnacentral:rRNA from 1 species